UAGGGAAUCUUCCGCAAUGGACGAAAGUCUGACGGAGCAACGCCGCGUGAGUGAAGAAGGUUUUCGGAUCGUAAAACUCUGUUGCAAGGGAAGAACAAGUACGUUAGUAACUGAACGUACCUUGACGGUACCUUACCAGAAAGCCACGGCUAACUACGUGCCAGCAGCCGCGGUAAUACGUAGGUGGCAAGCGUUAUCCGGAAUUAUUGGGCGUAAAGCGCGCGUAGGCGGUCUCUUAAGUCUGAUGUGAAAGCCCCCGGCUCAACCGGGGAGGGUCAUUGGAAACUGGGAGACUUGAGUGCAGAAGAGGAGAGUGGAAUUCCAUGUGUAGCGGUGAAAUGCGCAGAGAUAUGGAGGAACACCAGUGGCGAAGGCGGCUCUCUGGUCUGUAACUGACGCUGAGGUGCGAAAGCGUGGGGAUCAAACAGG
rnacentral:rRNA from 1 species